GUCGAUGCGGCCGCACGGUUCGAGCUGCUUCUCUCCAACGCUGAACCAUGACGAGAAGGUGUUGGAUAUGGGGUCUCGCAACUUCUUCAUCUGCGCCAGAAGAUUCUGAAUGGAUUAUCUGUAUCUUGCAGCGUCGCCUCCACAGUGCUCCCUCUCGCUGAACGUCAGGAGUUAAGAGUGUUCAUACAUGCUUAGCACUUCAGUUCCAGAUACAGAUAUGGUCCAGUUCAGCGAGAGGGUGAAUAUCAGGAGAGGAUCAGAGUGUACAGUUUGUACAAAAAAACUGAAGUUCGACCUGCUCUUGUAUAAACCUUCGCAAUGCAUUAUAAUUUGCCACUAGAAUCCAGUACACUGGUAUUGCGUUGAAUGUGUGGUGCCUUAGUUUGACCCAUUUGUAUUGCUAAUGAAUUAUGAUUCUGUUUUAAAUGAUAAGGUUGGGUACCUCGCAGCUUUGUCGACAGGGAGAUGCUAGACAGGAUCAAGAGUAUGCCAGAAGAGCUUCAGCCAGCCACCCCUAAGGGGCCUCACCCAAAAUGGUGUUACAUGUGGGGUGUUGGCCCUCGCCCGUCAAAUACCCAUUUAGGCUGUCAUUUCACAUGAUCCCUUUAGUGGAAUGUGAAUUCUGAAUGGAUUGCAUGGAUCAGACCUGACCAUUUAUCCGUGUCACAUACUGAACUCAUACCCUAUUAUCCUCCAUGACUUACCGAAGUGGAAACAUACAAUGGAUUCCUGGGGUGCAAAAAUGAUUUCUGCAAUUGAGGUUGUUGCUGAGAUGGCUGCGAUUUGAUUUGGCUUUAUCAAAGGAUGUGUUUACCUCUUUGAUGAAGGAGUUAGUGUUUUAAUUCUCUGCAGUUGUUGUCAAAUUUUCUGAUAUACAUGUUCUUAAAGUAAUGCAAAGUCUCAGCAUUUUCAGUACUACAAGUAAUACAGGUUAGCCUUGCCGUUUUUUCUGGAUACUGAAUUGAUCUACACUCGUGGGUUGAUGGAAGGGUAUGCUUGUUCAUAUUAGUUGUAAAGGUCACAGCUAUCG